AAUGGGGGCAACCCUGAUCCAGCCAUGCCGCGUGAGUGAAGAAGGCCUUCGGGUUGUAAAGCUCUUUCGGCCGGGGAGAAAUCGCACGGGCUAAUACCUUGUGUGGGUGACGGUACCGGAAUAAGAAGCACCGGCUAACUACGUGCCAGCAGCCGCGGUAAUACGUAGGGUGCGAGCGUUAAGCGGAAUUACUGGGCGUAAAGCGUGCGCAGGCGGUUUUUUAAGACAGGCGUGAAAUCCCCGGGCUUAACCUGGGAACUGCGCUUGUGACUGGAAGGCUAGAGUACGGCAGAGGGGGGUGGAAUUCCACGUGUAGCAGUGAAAUGCGUAGGGAUGUGGAGGAACACCGAUGGCGAAGGCAGCCCCCUAGGCCGAUACUGACGCUCAUGCACGAAAGCGUGGGGAGCAAA
rnacentral:rRNA from 1 species